rfam:Brassica oleracea var. oleracea cultivar TO1000 chromosome C6, whole genome shotgun sequence
AAUUAUUUUAAAUUCUGAAUAUUAAAUAUAAAUUUAAACUCCGCAGUGAAGCGUGCUUGGGCGAGAGUAGUACUAGGAUGGGUGAACUCCCGGGAAGUCCUCGUGUUGCACUCC